AGAGGAACGUGAGGCUAUGGGGGAGCUUUCUCGCUCUCGGACUCCUCGCUUGCGUUUGGGGGAGAUGCUGUUUUUUUAGGGUGAUGGGUCGGAGUUUGGUAUCUCAUCCCUGGGCGGCCGAGAGAUGCUCUGCCUUGGCGUGCGGACAGGCGUUUCACUGUUUUUGUUUGUCGAAUUUUCGGGGUCCAGCUCUGGGAGGCGAGAUGGCGUCAGACGAGAAAUGCCGCUCAGUGGUGGUGUCAUGUGUGGCGGCUCUAAUGCGAAAGGCAACAGAGCUAUGGAUGAUGCGAGCUCGCAGGGGCAGCUCCUGCCUCUGGGUUUUGGCUGGACUGGAGAGACAGAUACAGAUUUAAUUUGGCUUGGAGUAGUAGCUGAUUAGUGAUUAAUACGGCACAUGAAUGCCAAUGGAACUGUUUGGGGGAUGUAGGUUCCUGUUGAGCUAUCACUUUAACAGUGUUUCGUUUAUCUGGGUAAUGAGUACCCAGUUGACUGACUUCUAAGCAUUCAAGAUACUGUUAUGUGUUAUUAUUAACUCUUUGUGCUGUCUCUGACAUCAAAAUUACCUCAUAACCAGGUAUUUAAGAGUGGCCCUCUCUUCAUAUCAUCCAAAGAUUUAUUGGUCUUUGGUUCAGAUAGAACAGCUCCAUUUGCAUUAGCAACUGUUCGUGGAGUCCCUCGCUGCUACAGAAUGGGGUGAAGAAUGCAAGGAAGUUGCACAUUGUGUCUCAUCACCCGACCAAGGAUAGUUUGUCCGUUCCAGGUUUGACUGACAGAGGAAGUCAAUUGAGAAGUAUGUUGACACCAGAGUCCAAGGCCAUGGGUGAAGCAUUUUAAUCAAUCUAUUGUUUUGGCUGAGCAGAUCAAACUGUACGCAUGGACCGUGACUAAUGGUGUGCCAGUGUGGUGGUGACUGCCACACACUCACACAGGUUCUUGGUACUCUCUGUAACCUGUAGAUGAUGGGUGGCGAGUCCGGCAACCACAUAUCCAUUCCCCUGCAUAAUUUUUGUUUUUUCAUUUGAUUUGGUACAAGGCCUACUCAGAAUGGGUUCCCUGAUCUCAAAAUUGUCAGUUUUCUUGCCUUUAGUUUAUAGGUACCUUAACAAAUACAUGUAUUUACCAUAUUGGCAGUGAGCACCGUACGACAUUCAUUCUUCAUGAUCUUAUAUUUGGGGUUAGCAGUUCAAAGUGAUGUAAGAGCUUGCAUGUUUAUAGUUCUAACUAGCUUUUAGUUUAGCGUAGGAUAAGUCUUCCAUGAAUUCUUAGUUAGUUGUUUAUUUUUGCUGGCUGUGCAUGACACUGCAAAUUUUUCAUAUUUUCCUUCAAAAGUUAACUAUUUUCUUAUCUACAAUUAACUGGUUGUUGCUCCUAGCCGUUAGCAAGUCUGUCGUCCCUGACCACCCUGUCAGUCAUCUAUACAACUGUGGUUCAUGCCUGCGUGCUAUCCGCUCCUAAAUUCUCACACCACGUCAGGUGUUUAGAAGUGAUGAUCAUUGUGGUCUUUAGUUGUCAUGGCUGUAAUCCUAGCGCAUGGGCUUUUGCGGGCUGGUCCAACCGGAGUUGGUUGAUGGCAGGGGCUGCGCUCCAGGGACCGUAUGACUGAAGAAGGGAUGCAAAUGGUUUUACAGUGAAAAGCUGAAGAAGUUGUGACGGUGAUGAAAGGACUGAAAGAUUUGCUCGAAGCAAAAACAUCUAGCCGAGAUACAUAUACAACGAAGAGGAGGGAUCUUAUGUAUAAUAUGCGACAUCCAUGGUGCUGAAGGCCUGCACUCGCGUCACACCCUUUCCUCUCCCUGCCGCCUCGCCUCUCUCCCUGCCUGCUCGUUGCCCCGGUCGUCUCUGAUGAUGCUCCUAGAUGUGUUAUACAUCACCUCCUCACGUCCUUGGCCACUUCGGUGCCCAUGGCUAUCGUGCUCGUCGGCGGGAUGGUGCAAGGCGCAACUCCGACGUGGUUCCUCACUGGUUGGAUAGCGUUCAUGCGCAACCCCAGUGCCCUCUGAGUACUGCCUCGGCUACAACCUCCCUCUGUGAGCUCCAUCUUCCCCUGCUCUGCUUCGGCUACUAUAUGGGGCAUGGCCAGGGCUAUGAUGAUCAGUUAUGGCUGAUAUAGGCAUGCUCUCAAGCAGUCGAGGCACUUGUGGGUAUUAAUUUGGAUCCUCCCUCGUUUCUUUGAGCUGUUUUGAUCACGUUCUUAUUUUAGUGGCUCUGUCCUUGGAUGGUCAUUUCUAAUGAGUGAUAACCAGGGCAGUUAAACCCUCGUAAGAACAUAUUGAUCCGGUGAUCCAUCCGGAAUCCAGAAAUAAGAAUAGAAGCUCCUCAGGCCGCUCCUCAGCGAUUUGGGAUUCCUGGCCGUCGGAUCUGGUUGCUUGAUGGAUCUUGGGCCGUUGGAUCAACCCCUGUAACGACCUCAUCCGUCGGAUAUAAAAAAGUUACUGCUGGAAUGAAUAGUUACUCCCAAAAUGAGAUAUCUCAUGCCACCGCGUUUGAAUCACGUGCCCCAUCGGUCGGAAGACAUUCGUGCUAGGGCGAUGAUGAUUAGCCAUGGGUAUCAAGUUCGGUCCUCCCUCUUGUCUCUAGACUUGUUUUUCAUCCUGUGAUACUUAUUGUUCUGUCCUUUGGAUGGUCAUUCUUAUUGAGUGAUAACCAGGGCAACUCCACUGUAUAAACAGAUUGAUCUGGUGAUAAGAAAUGAUGUGGGUAGAUUAUAUGAUCGAGGAAAGGCAAAUCUGAGCCCAUAUGCAUUGAACCCUGAACCCUUUUUAUUCGCACGUGCCCCACCGGUCGGAAGCCAUCCUUGCUAGGGCGAUGAUGAUUCGAUGUGGCUUGUUUUGGGAGUAAGCAAGUUAUCGGUUUAAUGGCUUGUUUUAAUUUGUUGAUAAACCAGCAAAAACCACAGUGUCAUGUUUCUAAUAACAGCGUCUUUAGGCUGGUUAAUGUUUGUAUUGGAGCCCACUACCUUUUAUUUCGCUUGUUUCUUACCAUCUUCCUUGCUUCUCUGGGUGGAUCAUUUAGUUGGCUGACAGUUAUUUCACCACACAUAUCUGGUCAUUAUUUAGUUUCUCUGGGUGGACAUGUGCUGCGGAACUCCACCAGCAGAGGAGAGGAGCUGGGACGAGCCUGCCCUACCCUGCACUGCAGUCUGACGCCAACACUGCUCUUCUACUAUCUUUCUCUGUCCUACAGCUCCUCAUGUGCUUCAAUUCCUACUGUGCUGCUGCUGUAGAGGAUAGGAUAGGAUGGAUGAGAGCACAUCACACGAUUUGAUUCUGCUCUUGCUCCUUCUCUUCAAUGAUAAGGGUCCCAACACAGGACGUCCACUCCAAGCCCUAGAGCAGGCGAUGGAUAAACGGAAGGCCGCGUCAGCAUCUGCAGCCGUGUUGGCCAGCAAAAGAGGCACAUGUCGUAGACUAAACCAACGAGGGGAAACUGUACAACCUGAUGCACCACAGCCACCAGAGGAAAUUGUUCACAACAUCUACUUCUGGAGCGGUGAGUUCACAGUAGACGACAGUCCACUCAGAAGUUUCAACGACCCAGAGCAUGCAUCCUUUUAGAGAGCAUCAUGAAGUCUGAAUGCCCACUGAGCUUGCGCCGGCUGAUGGGAUGUCUAAGGUGAACGUAAAUCUUGUCCGUAAAGAAGAAAAAUGUCCUGAGCCAGUCAAGCGCCCUGCCCCAUUUCAAGGAGGGGGAAGAAUUCUCACUGCACCAUAUGAAAACUCUGCUCCUGCGGAUAUCGUUCCUGCGGCUGUUGCUUCUAGCAUUGCGACCACCACCGUGCGCAAGACUAUCACAGUAGAUGAUUCUUUGCCGUCAACCUCCCUCCAGAUUAGGUAUGCAGACGGCAGCCAUGUGGUUGCGCGCUUCAACACAAGCCACACGAUCAAUGACUUGCAAGCUCAUCGACACGACAAGGCCAGGAGAAACAAGCGACUACACGCUCCAGGUUGGGUUCCCCCCUAAGCCGCUCGACGAUGCGACCAAGACCAUCGAGGAAGCCGCCGUCGCCAACUUGGUGAUCAUCCAGAGAGUCUAAUCUCAACAGGCCUUUGACCCCAUGUAAUUGAACGCACCAUCCAUCUGUCCCAAUCGUGCACAUUUACUUGCCCUUUUGCCCGCCCCUGAGCUCUCUUGGAUGCCCCUCAGGUAUUAAUAUUGUAAAAAUCGGCGAGAUCUGGGUACCCGUCUUAUUCAUCUGCUAUAGCGUAAGUAUACUUGGCUUGAACU